rnacentral:rRNA from 1 species
UACGAAGGGUGCAAGCGUUACUCGGAAUUACUGGGCGUAAAGCGUGCGUAGGUGGUUCGUUAAGUCUGUCGUGAAAGCCCCGGGCUCAACCUGGGAAUGGCGAUGGAAACUGGCGGGCUAGAGUGCGGUAGAGGGCGGUGGAAUUCCCGGUGUAGCAGUGAAAUGCGUAGAGAUCGGGAGGAACAUCAGUGGCGAAGGCGGCCGCCUGGACCAGCACUGACACUGAGGCACGAAAGCGUGGGGAGCAAACAGG